rnacentral:rRNA from 1 species
GACGAACCGAGCGAACGUUGUUCGGAAUUACUGGGCGUAAAGCGCGCGUAGGCGGCUUUGUAAGUUAGAGGUGAAAGCCCGGGGCUCAACCCCGGAAUUGCCUUUAAGACUGCAUCGCUUGAAUCCGGGAGAGGUGAGUGGAAUUCCGAGUGUAGAGGUGAAAUUCGUAGAUAUUGGGAAGAACACCGGUGGCGAAGGCGGCUCACUGGCUCAUUACUGACGCUCAGGCGCGACAGCGUGGGGAUCAAACAGG